UAGGGAAGUCGGGGCUCAGACCCCCUCCCUGAGCCUAGGGUAACUUUGUCUGUGGAGGGGAA
rfam:Mus musculus chromosome 1, GRC primary reference assembly.